UUUGUACUCCCUCCGUCCCAAAAUUCUUGUCUUAAAUUUUUCUAAAUACGGAUGUAUCUAGUUACAUUUUAGUGUUAGAUACAUCUGUAUCUAAACAAAUGUAAGACAAGGAUUUUGGGACGAAGGGAAUACUAC
rnacentral:pre_miRNA from 1 species